rnacentral:rRNA from 1 species
AUGAACGCUGGCGGCGUGCCUUAGGCAUGCAAGUCGAACGGUUCGCAAGAACAGUGGCGGAAGGGUGAGUAACGCGUGGGAACGUACCAUUUGGUGGAGGAUAGCUCUCCGAAAGGAGGGGUAAUACUGCAUAAGCCCGCAAGGGGAAAGAUUUAUUGCCAAAUGAGCGGCCCGCGUCCUAUCAGCUUGUUGGUGAGGUAAUGGCUCACCAAGGCGAUGACGGGUAGCUGGGCUGAGAGGUCGGCCAGCCACAAGGGAACUGAGACACGGUCCCUACAUCUACGGAUGGCAGCAACCGGGAAUCUUGGACAAUGGGGGAAACCCUGAUCCAGCGACGCCGCGUGGGGGAAGAAGGCCUUCGGGUUGUAAACUCCUUUUGAUUUCCAUAAUGGAGAUAGAAUAAGCACCUGCCAACUACGU